rnacentral:lncRNA from 1 species
AUGAAGCUGAAUAUCUCCUUCCCUGCCACUGACUGUCAGAAACUCAUUGAAGUAGAUAACAAACACAAGCUUCGGAUAUUCUACUCAGCUCAUGGCCACAGAAGUAGCUGGUGAUGCUCUUGGUGAAGAGUGCAAGGGUUAUGUGGUCCGAAUCAGAGGUUGGAAUGACAAUCAAGUUUUCAAUGAAACAAGGUGUUUUGACCCAUGGCAAGUGCACCUGCUGUUGAGUAAGGGGCAUUCUUGUUAUAGACCAAGGAGAAUUGGAGAGAGGAAGCGCAAGUCUGUUUGUGGAUACACUGUAGAUGCCAAUCUAAGUGUUCUCAACGUGGUUAUUGUAAAGAAAGGAGAGAAGGACUGACAGAUACUACUGUGCCUCAUCAGUUGGGACCUAAAAGAGCUAGUAGAAUCCAAAAGGUUUUUAAUCUCUCCAAAGAAGACGAUAUUCACCAAUAUGUUGUCAGAAAGCUCUUAAACAAAGACGGUAAGAAGCCCAGGACCAAAGCACCCAAGAUGCAGUCUUGUUACUCCACAGGUUCUGCAACACAAAUGUUGAUGUAUUGAUCUGAAGAAACAAUGCACUAAGAAAAACAAAGAAGAGGCUGCAGAAUACGCUAAACUUUUGGCUAAGAGAAUGAAAGAAGCGAAAGAAAAGCACCAGGAACAGAUUGCCAAGAGACAUAGGCUGUCCUCUCUGAGAGCUUCUACUUCUAAAUCCGAGUCC